CACCGUCUUGGUCCUAAACUUAGUGUUAUUUGAUGCCGACCAUACACAUGCAAGUCUCAGCCCUCCUGUGCCAACGCCUAAACACCCCCAUAAGAGCCGACAUCAGGCACGUCAUAAUAGACAGCCCACAACGUCUAGCCCAUGCCACACCCCCACGGAACUCAGCAGUGAUUGACAUUAACACAUAAGCCACUUACACUUCAAGCUUGAUUUAGGCACGGCACUCAGGGCCGGUAAACACCGUGCCAGCCACCGCGGUUAUACGAUGAGCCCAAAAUAACACCGCACGGCGUAAAACGUGACUAGAAAUAUUUUACCCAUGGGGAGAAACAGAACAAAACAUGUAACACCGACGUAAAACCCCCAUACUACAUAGAACACCAUCAAACCCUCCCCAAACAUAAUCCUUUGACCACACGAAAACUAAGACACAAACUAGGAUUAGAUACCCUACUAUGCUUAGACGUAAACCAUGGCAGACUCUUAAACCGACCUGCCCGCCAGAGUAUUACAAGUGAAAAACUUAAAACUCAAAGGACUUGACGGCAUUCCACACCGUACUAGAGGAGCCUGUCCUAUAACCGAUAAUCCACGUUCCACCUCACCUGUUCUCGCACAAAUUCAGCCUAUAUACCGCCGUCUUCCAGCCCGCCUUACAAAAGAACCAGCCGCGGGCAAACCAGCCCAACACUAACACGUCAGGUCAAGGUGUAGCUAACGCACAGGCAGAGAUGGGCUACAUUUUCUCCACAACAGAAAAUAACCCCCAGCACCAUGAAACAAGUGCCCAAAGGAGGAUUUAGCAGUAAGCCGCGCAAGACCGCCCGACUGAACAACGCCAUGGAAUGCGUACACACCGCCCGUCACCCUCAUCAACACACCAACACCAAAAGCUUCAUAACACCAAACCAAAACAUCAGAUGAGAUAAGUCGUAACAAGGUAAGUGCACUGGAAAGUACACUUGGCAUAAU
rnacentral:ncRNA from 1 species